GCAUUAUACAGCGAAACUGCGAAUGGCUCAUUAUAUAAGUUAUCGUUUAUUUGAUAGUACCUUACUACUUGGAUAACCGUGGUAAUUCUAGAGCUAAUACAUGCUAAAAAUCCCGACUUCGGAAGGGAUGUAUUUAUUAGAUUAAAAACCAAUGCCCUCUGGGCUCUUUGGUGAUUCAUGAUAACUUCUCGAAUCGCACGGCCUUGCGCCGGCGAUGGUUCAUUCAAAUUUCUUCCCUAUCAACUUUCGAUGUUUGGGUAUUGGCCAAACAUGGUUGCAACGGGUAACGGAGGGUUAGGGCUCGACCCCGGAGAAGGAGCCUGAGAAACGGCUACUACAUCCAAGGAAGGCAGCAGGCGCGCAAAUUACCCAAUCCCGACACGGGGAGGUAGUGACAAUAAAUACUGAUACAGGGCUCUUUUGGGUCUUGUAAUUGGAAUGAGUACAAUUUAAAUCCCUUAACGAGGAACAAUUGGAGGGCAAGUCUGGUGCCAGCAGCCGCGGUAAUUCCAGCUCCAAUAGCGUAUAUUAAAGUUGUUGUGGUUAAAAAGCUCGUAGUUGAACCUUGGGCCUGGCUGGCCGGUCCGCCUCACCGCGUGUACUGGUCCGGCCGGGCCUUUCCCUCUGUGGAACCUCAUGCCCUUCACUGGGUGUGACGGGGAAACAGGACUUUUACUUUGAAAAAAUUAGAGUGCUCCAGGCAGGCCUAUGCUCGAAUACAUUAGCAUGGAAUAAUAAAAUAGGACGUGUGGUUCUAUUUUGUUGGUUUCUAGGACCGCCGUAAUGAUUAAUAGGGACAGUCGGGGGCAUCAGUAUUCAAUUGUCAGAGGUGAAAUUCUUGGAUUUAUUGAAGACUAACUACUGCGAAAGCAUUUGCCAAGGAUGUUUUCAUUAAUCAGGAACGAAAGUUAGGGGAUCGAAGACGAUCAGAUACCGUCGUAGUCUUAACCAUAAACUAUGCCGACUAGGGAUCGGACGAUGUUAUUUUUUGACGCGUUCGGCACCUUACGAGAAAUCAAAGUGCUUGGGCUCC
rnacentral:rRNA from 1 species